CACGUAGGGUGCGAGCGUUGUCCGGAAUUAUUGGGCGUAAAGAGCUCGUAGGCGGUGUGUCGCGUCGGCCGUGAAAACUUGCAGCCUAACUGUGGGCGUGCGGUCGAUACGGGCAUCACUGGAGUUCGGCAGGGGAGACUGGAAUUCCUGGUGUAGCGGUGAAAUGCGCAGAUAUCAGGAGGAACACCGGUGGCGAAGGCGGGUCUCUGGGCCGAUACUGACGCUGAGGAGCGAAAGCGUGGGGAGCGAACAGG
rnacentral:rRNA from 1 species